rnacentral:tRNA from 1 species
CGGGGUAUAGCGCAGUCCGGUUAGCGCAUCCCGAUUUGACAUCGGGAGGGUCGCAGGUUCGGAUUCUGCAACCUCUU